UCCAUUUCUUUGUUUGUUGGGAGAUUAGUUAUUGACUUGUUUCAUCUUUAUAACCUUUAUUCACCCUACUGUUCUAUAAAGAGCCACUUCACAGACAGACAACUGGCAGUCAUGCCCAAUUUAUUCUCAGGUGCAAAAUAACUGAGGCACAUCAAAAGAACAUAGAGAUUUUUGUUGCUUUGACAUAUUUCUAUGACCAUGCAGCUUUUUCAUUAUUGUGUUCCUUUUUUAUUGAGCAAUAAUACAUAUGAAAUCAGUA